AAAUAGAUACCCCGGUAGUCCACGCCGUAAACGAUGAGUGCUAAGUGUUAGAGGGUUUCCGCCCUUUAGUGCUGCAGCUAACGCAUUAAGCACUCCGCCUGGGGAGUACGGCCGCAAGGCUGAAACUCAAAGGAAUUGACGGGGGCCCGCACAAGCGGUGGAGCAUGUAGUUUAAUUCGAAGCAACGCGAAGAACCUUACCAGGUCUUGACAUCCUCUGCCAACCCUAGAGAUAGGGCGUUCCCCUUCGGGGGACAGAGUGACAGGUGGUGCAUGGUUGUCGUCAGCUCGUGUCGUGAGAUGUUGGGUUAAGUCCCGCAACGAGCGCAACCCUUGAUCUUAGUUGCCAGCAUUCAGUUGGGCACUCUAAGGUGACUGCCGGUGACAAACCGGAGGAAGGUGGGGAUGACGUCAAAUCAUCAUGCCCCUUAUGACCUGGGCUACACACGUGCUACAAUGGAUGGUACAAAGAGCUGCGAACCCGCGAGGGUAAGCGAAUCUCAUAAAGCCAUUCUCAGUUCGGA
rnacentral:rRNA from 1 species